GGAUCUAAUGCAAUACGUUUCAUUAAUCCAAAUUCUUCGCCCUCAAAUCAGGUAAGACUACCCGCUGAACUUAAGCAUAUCAA
rnacentral:rRNA from 1 species